CCUACGGGCGGCUGCAGUGGGGAAUAUUGGACAAUGGGCGAAAGCCUGAUCCAGCCAUGCCGCGUGUGUGAAGAAGGCCUUCGGGUUGUAAAGCACUUUCAGUGGGGAAGAAAGCCUUGGGGCUAAUACCCUCGAGGAAGGACAUCACCCACAGAAGAAGCACCGGCUAACUCCGUGCCAGCAGCCGCGGUAAUACGGAGGGUGCGAGCGUUAAUCGGAAUUACUGGGCGUAAAGCGCGCGUAGGCGGUCUGAUAAGCCGGUUGUGAAAGCCCCGGGCUCAACCUGGGAACGGCAUCCGGAACUGUCAGGCUAGAGUGCAGGAGAGGAAGGUAGAAUUCCCGGUGUAGCGGUGAAAUGCGUAGAGAUCGGGAGGAAUACCAGUGGCGAGGCGGCCUUCUGGACUGACACUGACGCUGAGGUGCGAAAGCGUGGGUAGCAAACAGGAUUAGAUACCCCAGUAGUC
rnacentral:rRNA from 1 species